rnacentral:rRNA from 1 species
UACGUAGGGGGCUAGCGUUGUCCGGAAUCAUUGGGCGUAAAGAGCGUGUAGGCGGCCCGGUAAGUCCGCUGUGAAAGUCGGGGGCUCAACCCUCGGAUGCCGGUGGAUACUGUCGGGCUCGAGUACGGAAGAGGCGAGUGGAAUUCCCGGUGUAGCGGUGAAAUGCGCAGAUAUCGGGAGGAACACCUAUGGCGAAGGCAGCUCGCUGGGACGUUACUGACGCUGAGACGCGAAAGCGUGGGGAGCAAACAGG